rnacentral:rRNA from 1 species
CACGUAGGGGCGAGCGUUGUCCGGAUUUAUUGGGCGUAAAGAGCUCGUAGGCGGCUCAGUAAGUCGGGUGUGAAACUCCAGGCUCAACCUGGAGACGCCACCUGAUACUGCUGUGGCUAGAGUCCGGUAGGGGAGCAUGGAAUUCCUGGUGUAGCGGUGAAAUGCGCAGAUAUCAGGAGGAACACCAGUGGCGAAGGCGGUGCUCUGGGCCGGAACUGACGCUGAGGAGCGAAAGCGUGGGAGCAAACAGG